rnacentral:other from 1 species
AGUAGCCUGCAGUGUCCGUGAUGCCGGCUUUACCUAAUUUUGAGCCAACACUCAAAAAGACGGGAUGUCAACAUAUACCUGUGGAAUGCACUCGCCCGCGUGGUUUCAGAGUACAGGAAGCAGGUGUGAGACGACCCACCUGAUAAAUCAGGUUCAAAUUGGUACUGGCACACGGCACAUGCGGGCUUUUA